GAUUAUGAUGACUGUUGCUUUAGUAUUUCUGACACCUCUUGUAUGAGAAGAGCCUUUAUUGGCCCUUUUGUGAGCACACAAAGCAUCUAUCUACC